rnacentral:rRNA from 1 species
GACGUAGGGGCCGAGCGUUGUCCGGAGUUACUGGGCGUAAAGGGCGCGCAGGCGGUUGGUCACAUCGGCGGUGAAAGCCCCCCGCUCAACGGGGGAGGGUCCGUCGAGAUGGGCCGACUGGAGGCAGGGAGAGGGCGGUGGAAUUGCGAGUGUAGAGGUGAAAUUCGUAGAUAUUCGCAGGAACACCAGUGGCGAAGGCGACUUGCUGGAUCUUUGCUGACGCUGAGACGCGAAAGCGUGGGUAGCAAACAGG